GUCCACGCCCUAACGAUGUCAACUGGUUGUUGGGUCUUUACUGACUCAGUAACGAAGCUAACGCGUGAAGUUGACCGCCUGGGGAGUACGGCCGCAAGGUUGAACUCAAGGAAUUGACGGGACCCGCACAAGCGGUGGAUGAUGUGGUUUAAUUCGAUGCAACGCGAAACCUUACCCACCUUUGACAUGUACGGAACCCUUUAGAGAUAGAGGGGUGCUCGAAAGAGAGCCGUAACACAGGUGCUGCAUGGCUGUCGU
rnacentral:rRNA from 1 species